UACAGGGGGGGCAAGCGUUGUUCGGAAUUACUGGGCGUAAAGGGCUCGUAGGCGGCCAACUAAGUCACACGUGAAAUCCCCAGGCUUAACCUGGGAACUGCGUGUGAUACUGGAUGGCUUGAAUUCGGGAGAGGGAUGCAGAAUUCCAGGUGUAGCGGUGAAAUGCGUAGAUAUCUGGAGGAAUACCGGUGGCGAAGGCGGCUACCUGGACGGGUACUGACGCUGAUGCGCGAAAGCUAGGGGAGCAAACAGG
rnacentral:rRNA from 1 species